GGGACAGUGUGUGAAAGCAGCAGGCAGAGAAACAACUGAUGCGUGUGGUGGAGACUGAAACAACUAUGGAAUGAUUUUAUUGUGGAUCCACCCAAUUUGGAGAAACUGAUCUUUGUUGUAUGUGUAAAGCGUAUGAAUUUGUGAGAUUAUCUCCACUGGCAUUCCACCAUGCAGUUACCUUGCUCAAUAAGAGAUGAUUUGAGUCACUGAGCCUCAGGAGACAUUGGAAAAGAAACAGGUAUCUACGGAAUGAUGACAAAAUAAGAUAGGACUAAUGAAUAAACAAAUUGGAAUAUGGCAAACCAACUGUAAGACAAAGAGCCAAAGACCAAGCACAAGAAAUACAUACAAUCAGAGAGAUAUGCUUGUUAUCAGAAGCAGGAAGCUCAUAAAACCCGAAACAGAACUAAAAUAUACUGCAAGGACCUACAAG
rnacentral:sRNA from 1 species